rnacentral:rRNA from 1 species
GAUGAACGCUAGCGGCAGGCCUAAUACAUGCAAGUCGAACGGUGUCUUCGGACAUAGUGGCGCACGGGUGCGUAACACGUAUGCAACCUACCUUACAUUGGGGGAUAGCCUUUCGAAAGGGAGAUUAAUACCGCAUAAGACAGUAGCUGGGCAUCCAGCAGCUGUUAAAGAUUUAUCGAUGUAAGAUGGGCGUGCGUCUGAUUAGGUAGUUGGUGAGGUAAUGGCUCACCAAGCCGACGAUCAGUAACUGGUGUGAGAGCACGACCAGUCACACGGGCACUGAGACACGGGCCCGACUCCUACGGGAGGCAGCAGUAAGGAAUAUUGGGCAAUGGACGCAAGUCUGACCCAGCCAUGCCGCGUGGAGGAUGAAGGUCCUCUGGAUUGUAAACUUCUUUUAUCAGGGAAGAAAUCUGUGUAUUCUUACGCAGUUGACGGUACCUGAGGAAUAAGCACCGGCUAACUCCGUGCCAGCCGCCGCCGUAACAC